AGAUCAAUUUGUUGGUCGUGCCUCGGUACGUACUGGCAAUUUUGAUUUCUCCUACUGAAGAACCAUGAUGUCAUUAAUUUGGUGUCAUGGGAAGUCAGGACCGUUACUUUGAAAAAAUUAGAGUGUUUAAAGCAGGCUCGCGCUUGAAUACAUUAGCAUGGAAUAAUGAAAUAGGACGUUUGAUUCUAUUUUGUUGGUUUCUAGGAUCGACGUAAUGAUUAAUAGGGAUAGUUGGGCUGA
rnacentral:rRNA from 1 species